UGAUAAUUUAAAUGGCCGCAGUAUACUAACUGUGCAAAGGUAGCAUAAUCAUUAGUCUUUUAAUUGAAGGCUGGUAUGAAUGGUUGGACGAAAUAUUAACUGUUUCAUGAAAAUUUAUAAUAGAAUUUUAUUUUUUAGUCAAAAAGCUAAAAUAAAAUUAAAAGACGAGAAGACCCUAUAAAUCUUUAUAUAUAGAUUAUUAGAAUUUUGUAGAUUUUUUUUAUUAUAAUAAUUAAUUGUAUUUUAUUGGGGUGAUAUUAAAAUUUAAUAAACUUUUAAUUUUAAAAAAUCAUUAAUUUAUGAAUAAUUGAUCCGUUAAUAACGAUUAAAAAAAUAAGUUACUUUAGGGAUAACAGCGUAAUUUUUUUGGAGAGUUCAUAUCGAUAAAAAAGAUUGCGACCUCGAUGUUGGAUUAAGAUAUAAUUUUAGGUGUAGCCGCUUAAAUUUUAAGUCUGUUCGACUUUUAAAUUCUUACAUGAUCUGAGUUCAAACCGGCGUAAGCCAGGUUGGUUUCUAUCUUUAAAAA
rnacentral:rRNA from 1 species